UGCUGAGGAAGAAAACGGCUCCCUGCUCCUUUUUUUUUUCUUUUUUUUUUUUCCCCCCUCCUCUCCUUUCUUCUUGCCUGAAUUAGAAGCUCCAGGAAUGCGCUAAUUGGCGGCGGCCUCUUCAGAAAGGAAAAUGGGUCUUGUUAUGUGAAGGCGUUGAGGAAACAGUCCCCAGCUACUGAGAGGAAGAAAGGCCGGUGGGACAUACUCAGAUCGAGGGAUUUUAAUGGCUUUCAGGUAGAAGCCAAGUGGAGACAAUCAAAAUGAACUCUAUGGACAGGCACAUACAGCAGACCAAUGACCGGCUGCAGUGCAUAAAACAGCACUUACAGAACCCUGCAAACUUCCAUAAUGCAGCAACAGAGCUCCUGGACUGGUGCGGAGACCCCAGAGCCUUCCAGAGGCCAUUCGAGCAGAGCCUGAUGGGUUGUUU